AGAAAAAGCAAACAUCUGUGUUAUUAAGUUCCUCUUACAAAUGAUGGACUUCAGUUCAGUCUCCACAUCUGAGUGAUGUUAACAUGAUCAGUGCUGGUCAGAAACGAUGAUCCAGAGUCCUUCUUAGAAAGACAGAAAUAUCACCUUAUGAAGAAGCUGAGAGGUUUGUAACAGUCUGCACAUCAGGAAUGGGCUUCCAUGAAGCCCUGGAUUUCCAGCCCAGCAGACAACAGCUCAACUACAUCAUAGGUGCAGAUGUAGUACAUAAAACUACAGCCCUGGGGUGUGUCUCCUUCACAAGCAGAUACUUUCAACGAUAUGCAAGAAAAUUAAUAAAUCCAUUAGAGGGCACAAUCUUUUCUCAAUGUGUUUACACUCUAAAUACUUAGAAGUAGCAUUCUCCCACUAAUUUGCCUCUUUACCACAUCACUUGGGUGUCAUUCUUCUCAUGUUUAUCUUGCUACUGUUUUCAGUAUGCAGAUGGACUUCGUAUAUCUUAGGCCUACCUACAUAUUCUCUACAAGCCUUGAUCUCACCUGCAUUUUGAAAUUUUUGCAUGUAUUUCCUAAUGUUUAUUUUGGCUAUGUCUAUAUUGUUGGACUGGAAAUGCUCUCUGCACCCUAUAGUCAGUCAGUCAUAGAUUCUGUUACUUAGCUCACCUUCUCUCUGCUUUUCUCAUGUGCCAGACAAGAAUUUUACUCACCUUAAGAUGCACAAAGAAAACAAAGACUGUCAUUAUCACAAAACAAUGAUCCCAUCUUUGAAUGUAUCUCAAGCUCAAUGCAAGGUUGCUCUUUAUAAACUUACUCUGCUUUGCUGAGUUGACUCUCUCAGGGCCCAAGAUAAUAGAGAUAUACAAAGGGAA
rnacentral:lncRNA from 1 species